rnacentral:rRNA from 1 species
AUUGAACGCUGGCGGCAUGCUUUACACAUGCAAGUCGAACGGUAGAGGGGCAACCCUUGAGAGUGGCGAACGGGUGAGUAAUGCAUCGGAACGUGCCCAGUAGUGGGGGAUAGCCCGGCGAAAGCCGGAUUAAUACCGCAUGAGACCUGAGGGUGAAAGCGGGGGAUCGCAAGACCUCACGCUAUUGGAGCGGCCGAUGUCAGAUUAGCUAGUUGGUGGGGUAAAGGCCUACCAAGGCGACGAUCUGUAGCUGGUCUGAGAGGACGACCAGCCACACUGGGACUGAGACACGGCCCAGACUCCUACGGGAGGCAGCAGUGGGGAAUUUAGGACAAUGGGCGCAAGCCUGAUCCAGCCAUGCCGCGUGCGGGAAGAAGGCCUUCGGGUUGUAAACCGCUUUUGUCAGGGAAGAAAUCUUCUGGGCUAAUACCCUGGGAGGAUGACGGUACCUGAAGAAUAAGCACCGGCUAACUACGUGCCAGCCGCCGCGGUAACAC